GCAAAGGCAGCAACGGGUUCCUCAUCCACCGUGUCCUCCUGCUCACCACGCACGGCACAAUCCCCUCGGCUGCCACGGUGGGUGCCGCUGACGUCUGGCUUAGCCACGGCUGACUUCUAGUUCGCCUGGUGCCGCAGAGGUUGUUUUCUUUCCAGGUUGUGGCAUGGAGGCAAAUGAGCUUGCACUGAUGAUUAUACUUCGCUUAGGAAUGGAUACCAUGAGAAUGCAACUUAAACCAUGUUUUAAUGUUUAGCUGUAAUGCUGUUUCGUUGUUUUGAGCCUGUGACUUUUUUGAGAACUACUCUGAAAUACAGACCUCAUGUGGACCAUGCCACUUUCGUGA